AGUUGUCUGAGAAGCUCGGCUACCACAUGGGUAAGGGUUCAAUACUUUCGACUAUUCGUGCAUUGGUUUUAUGAUUCCCAAACUAUAAUUGAAUUUGAAGGAGGUUGGAUAACGAUGAUCAAGUCAUAUGGGUUGCAUGAUAAUACUUGGUUGUUAGGCCUUUACGAUAAUAGAGGUCGUUGGAUCUCUUGCUUUUUGAAAACUACUUUCUGGGCAGGGAUGUCGACGAUGCAAAGAAGUGAGAGCAUGAAUGCAUUUUUUUGAUAGAUACUUUCAUUCAAAGACUUCUUUGGUACAGUUUGUUGAACAGUAUGAACGGGUAUAACGGAAUAAGAUUGAGAAAGAGUUCCAUGUUGAUUUUAAAUUGUUUUCACAAAUGGUACCGUAUGCGACAACUUAUUAUAUGGAGAAGCAGUUUCAGUCAGUAUACACCAUUUCAAAAUUUUGAGAAGUUCAAGUUGAGUUCACAGGGAAAGUUUACUGCGAUAUCGUAUCUUCCUCAGAAGGACUUCUUGGGAUGACAUACAAUAUAUGGGAAGAUGUCAUACAUGAACAACGUCGAAAGAAGAAAUCGUUCGAAGUUACGUUUCAACCUGAGGACUGUGAAAUUAGUUCCAACUGCCACUUGUUCGAGUUUAGAGGAAUAAUAUGCAGGCAUGCCCUCACCGUGUUGAUUCAUAAUGACAUAACAUCACUUCACGAGUAGUGCAUUUUGCGACGAUGGAGAAGAGAGGUUAGUAGAGCAUAUUCAAGGGUCACGGUCAAUUAUGACGGGUUGGUUAGUUCGCCUAGAUAAUUGAGAUAUGACAGUACGUGCCAAGCUUUUGCUACGCUGGCAAAUCUUGCUGCAGAUGGCAAAGUUUAGACCUGUGUCAUAAUAGAAUGGAUUGGACUGCAAUCCAAGGAGCUAGUGAUGACGAAGUCAAUUUGUGGAAAUAAUACUAUUUCGCAUUGAAACAAUGAGUUAGCCACUAUACAUACUAAUUCCCAAAAUAAUACGAACUAGAACAUAUUGGAUCCGACACUGUGCCGAAGAAAAGGAGCACAAAAAAACUUCGACGAAAAGGACCUUUAGACUCUUCUUCAAAGAAGGUACAGGUUUAUUGAAAGUUUUGUAGAAAUUUGUAAAUUAUUUGUAUACACAAAGUCUCAUUUAUUAUGAUGUACAUAUAGUUAAAUUUGACUCCAAUCAAGCGAAAGAGGCUGACAUGAAAGCAUAGUAGUACAUGUGUGGGUGUACCUGAAGGGCAGCCAAUUUCUGUAGAAAACCAAUAUUCCCCGUCUCCACAAGUCACAUUAUCACAAAUUUCACUUUCGACGCCCUUUCCAUUACCAGAACGUGGCAUGCUGACGUCAUUGUCAUAUGUGCAAUGCUUACAAUCUUCCAAUAUGAUGAAUUUGUCGUCAACAAAUGACUUGUACAAUUCGCAAGGCCAUGCGUUUGCGUACUACUAUCCACAUUUGUCAGAUCAAGGUAGAACAGGUUUUUGAUGCUUUUCGGAUAGCCCAUGCAGUUGAUGGAAUAAGUUACUCUUGUUUAUUUCGAACUUGAACACCCUGCCCCUGUAUUGGAUGGGAACAAGGAUUACAAAGUUGGUUGCUUAUGUAUGUAUUUCACUCAUUUGUAGCUUGGCAGCGGAGUCCACUUUACCCAUUCGAAUGUUAUGUUUUUGUAUACACCACCCAUUUCGAAUCGAGAUCUUGUAUUUGGAGAAUGAUCACUAAGAUAUUUAAGCA